rnacentral:lncRNA from 1 species
AGCCCGACUGCGAUUUUCCUGCUUGCAACUAAGAAACGUGUGGUUCUUGGUUCCGAACUGCUGAGCUGAGCCGGGUUGCGUCUGGUGACCUCAGCCCUCACCGGCCACAGACCCUGAUGGGCCCACAGGGGAAGCGAAGGGCACGGUUUCCAUGCAGUGACCUUGAGUUGCCUUCUACGGCGUGGGCAGAGCGCGAGAGCAGUUUCAGGCCUAAGGGAGGAGCAUCCGGAUGAAUAGCUGCCCGCGAAUAAGGACGAUUGAGAGCCACGCGACAUCUGUCAGGGAUCUCGUCCUGCCCCUGAAGAAACGCCGGGCAUGUUUCCCGCCUCCCCGGCCGAUGGAGCUCCGCAUGGGGUUGGCCCAGCCUCCAUCCAGAGUUCGUCUUUGCCAUCAACGGCCAAAGUGACCUUUCUUUCUCCUGACUGCUCUUUCGGUCGUCAGGUCUACGUGGCUGCUGUCACCGCAGGGACACAACGUGGGUGCCACUGAGGAUGAGAACUCACGCGGAGCGAGGCCGGGUGCUUUCUGAAGAGUCUGACACCUCGGCCUCUGCCUCCUGCUCCCGCCUGCUCUUUGUCCUUUCUACGCCUUUAACUCGUCUCCCUUCCUAACACACACACACACACACACACACACACACACACACAC